CUUUAUAUAUAAAUGAAGUAAUGCUGUAUUGGCCGCAAAAGAAGGCCAUGCACCAUACUAAUGUAUUAUUGUGGUCUAAAACCAGGCGUUUCAGUUAUAUAUACAUAUAUUAAAAAAAUCAGCACAACACGCAUUGUCUUUUUUCAUUCCUCAAGAAAUGAGUGCUCCUGUUUAGUACUUAAUAAUAAUAAUAAAACACACGUCAGUUUCAUACAUGUUUGGUACAGUAGGGAGAGAAAACUAACAAUUGUUUUAUUUUUUAUUUUAUAUAAACAGCGUUUUCUGAACAAUGUAUGACUUUGCCUUCAAAUAAACUCAGUUCUAAUUACUUUAAGCAUAAAAAAAAUCUAUCUCCGGUAAUGCUAUACAGUGCUGUAUUAGCAUUAAUAAUGCCCUAUUAAAGCACAUUACUACAAUAUUAAAAAGCCGCAAUUAACAACAGAGUCCAAUCUAUUACAUUCAAUUUCUAUUUAUUAGCAGAUACAAUAAAUAACACUCAAAUAGUAUGCAAACAUAUCAACCGGAUACGCAAUAUUCUAGCAACAAGAUGCUAACAAACUGGUUAAGAUCACGUGACGCGACUGUGGUCAUUUCGCGUUAUAACCGGUAUCUAGUAGAAAAUAUUUAAAGGGAAGGGACGCUGUGUUAUGAGACUGUUUUGGUCCUCUUCUGUCUAAAAGUAUGUGGACCAGUUUUGGGCCGGCGAAGACCUAUUAAUCUAGGCCUUACUUUAGCUGUUGAUACUGUGCCAAAGCAAAUUUGCCGACUGCCGCUCUUCGCUUCCGCUUGUCGCGCGCCCCAAAGAGCGUCAUAACUGCAUUAAUGAAUUCAAUUUCCGCAUAAAUAGAUGUCAUUUGAAAGAUGAGAGUUUGUUUCUUAUCGAAGAGGACAAAGAUAAGCACUGCGAUUACAGGAUGCGAUAAUAAUAGUGAAGACUAGUGAAACGGAUUGUUCCGCACGUGCGGUGGUUAAAAUUACACAUUUGAAAAUUGCAGUUUUCGGCACGAAUAAGUGUAUCAUACACCCUUAGAUAAUAUUUAAAACACCAACACCGCACUUACCUGACAUGUCUGGGCAAAGACUGUUUUAAAUAAGGAGCUUUUUCACCAUCUUCUUAACGGCGGUCGAAAAAGGAAGCCGAGUGAAAAAUGACGGAUAGGAAUAAGAAAAUCAAGUGGUUCUGACUGUAUCGAGGACUGAAGUACGGACCAGUCACGCCCUCUAGUGGAUCCAUCUGACAGCUCCAUCUCCACCAUUUGAAGCGAGACUGAUAGAGAAACAAGCUCUUGAAUGACCAUGCGCAGACGCUCUGUGACAGACAUGUGACGAGGAGAGGAUCUGGCAAGGGUACUUUCAGUGGAGUAAGGGUUCCUGUGGCCCUCCGGCACGGGGACAGA